AUGCCGGCCGCCACCGCAACUACUUUCAAUAAGGACUGUCACUCACUCGGUAUAGAAGAAAUAUACCUCCUUCGGCAGGAGCUGAUGCCUGCGGCCUGCACGUUUUAAUUCAUUACUUGGCCUUUAAGACAGUGUGGAAUUCUGGGGGAUGAGGUGAUGUGCCUGUGCGCAGCUACGUUACUACAGCGUAGCUCUAUUUGUCGCAGUUGUAAAAGAGCCUGCUGAAGAGAAGGUCUCCUGCAAGAUGCUAAAGAGAUGGUUUUUGGCUGGAAGAAGUUGAUCCAGAUGCAGAAGAAAAGGAAAGAGGACAUUGCUGAUCAGAAAUGACCGUACCUACCCGUGUAUGCAGAGGACUUCUUCAGAAUUGAUGGACUAUGUCGAUGACCAGCAUUUUUUAUUGUUUAAGGGCUUGUCAAGGAGUGUUUUUUGGAAUAAAAGUUUUUAAAAGUU